UACGGAGGGUGCGAGCGUUGUCCGGAAUCACUGGGCGUAAAGGGCGCGUAGGCGGUCUGCUAAGCGUGCGGUGAAAGCCUGGGGCUCAACCCCAGGUCUGCCGUGCGAACUGGUGGACUUGAGCACUGUAGAGGCAGGUGGAAUUCCGGGUGUAGCGGUGGAAUGCGUAGAGAUCCGGAAGAACACCAGUGGCGAAGGCGGCCUGCUGGGCAGUUGCUGACGCUGAUGCGCGACAGCGUGGGGAGCAAACAGG
rnacentral:rRNA from 1 species